GACGAACGCUGGCGGCGCGCUUAACACAUGCAAGUCGAACGGAAAGGCCUGCUUUCCCUUGUGGAUUGCGGGUACUCGAGUGGCGAACGGGUGAGUAACACGUGAGUGAUCUGCCCCCAACUUGGGUAUAAGCCUGGGAAACUGGGUCUAAUUCCCGAUAGGACUGCAGGGUGGUGCCUGUGGUGGAAAACGAUUUUCUAGUGGUUGGGGAUGAGCUCGCGGCCUAUCAGCUUGUUGGUGGGGUAAUGGCCUACCAAGGCGGCGACGGGGAGCCGGCCUGGGAGGGUGGACGGCCACAUUGGGACUGAGAUACGGCCCAGACUCCUACGGGAGGCAGCAGUGGGGAAUAUUGCACAAUGGGCGGAAGCCUGAGGCAGCGACGCCGCGUGGGGGAUGACGGCCUUCGGGUUGUAAACUCCUUUCGACCGCGAGGAAGCCACCUGGUUGGAAGGGUGGUGACGGUAGUGGUAGAAGAAGCACCGGCUAACUACGUG
rnacentral:rRNA from 1 species